CGGGGAUAAAAACACGUCCCGGUCGGUAGUCCGGGAGCGGCCGCGGCCGCCGCCGUCAGUAACCUGCCUCCUUGGUUGUCCCUUCCCCGUGAG
rnacentral:ncRNA from 1 species